AAGGAUUCACGAACCCAGCCUCGGGAGGCCAGUGAAAUUUACACUAUCGAAAUAGGCCUACCGCCUACCCUUCCCCCUUUUGUUUUGAUUUGGCGCUCUCCUAUACUUUCUAGGGUUCUAAAGUUCUCUCAUAACCUUUUCAGUCCACGAUCGUGUGCCUGAAGGAUUCCCGAACCCAGCCUUCUCACUCGCACUCGUUCGAUCCAGACUUGAUAUGGCAUCAUCCAGCAAUGCUGCUGAUAUCGUUUUGCGCAAUGAUUGUUCGGAACCAGAAUCGGUGGAUGAUCCAGACGCUUUAGACCUGAUACAAAAUGAAACACCGCAACCUGCCAAGUCUUUUGUAUAUAGCGGUCCAGUAGAGCCAUGUGAAGGCAUGGUGUUUGAUGAAUUGGAAGAUGCCGAGACUUGUUACAAGGCAUAUGCAAGGCGGAAGGGGUUUAGCAUUCGGAAAAGUCAUACUCGACUGUCUAAUAAGGAUAAGUCACUAAUCGGAGUGGAAUUUUCUUGUAGUAGGGAAGGAUAUCAUCGUCCGAGCUAUCGCAAGAAGUAUAAGAAUUUUGAAAAUCGUGCUGAGACCAUGAUAGGAUGUAAAGCAUUGAUGCGUUUGAGAAAAGAUGAAGGAAAAUGGGUUGUAAGCAAGUUUUUAGUUGACCACAAUCAUGAACUAUGUUCUCCAGAAAGUACACCUUUGCUUCCAGGUCAUAGAAAAAUUACCCGUGCUCAGAAAAAUCUUCUUGAUGUGCUUAAUGUUUCUGGAAUAGCCCCCACAAAGAUUAUGUCCGUGUUAAGGGAAUCUGGUGUUGACCCUAAUGUUGGUUGUGCUAGAAAGGAUGCUCUAAAUUAUUUGGGAAUUAAAAGGAGGAAGCUUGUGGAAGACGGAGAUGCUCAAAGAAUGUACAACUUCUUCGUACAAAGCCAAUCAGAGAACCCGGAUUUUUUUUAUGCAGUUCAAAGGGAUGAAGAUAAUUCUAUGGGAAACUGUUUUUGGGUUGAUGGAAGGUCCAGGCUGGCGUUCCAAUACUUUGGUGACGUAGUUUGUUUUGAUGCUACAUACUUCAGUAAUCGCUAUGAUAUGCCUUUUGCUCCUUUUGUAGGAGUCAAUCAUCAUCAACUCUCAGUCAUGUUUGGGUGUGCUUUACUUGUCAAUAAGUCCAGAGAGUCUUAUGUAUGGCUAUUUAAAGCUUGGUUUGAUGCAAUGGGUGGACGUUCUCCAUCGGUUAUCAUAACCGAUGAUGACAAAGGCAUGGCCGAGGCUAUUGCUCAGGUAUUACCUAACACUACUCACCGUUUGUGCAUGUGGCAUGUCUUGCGAAAAGCUCCUCAACUUUUGACUCAUGUAUAUAUCAACUAUCCCUUGUUUCAAGGGGAGUUUGACCAUUGCAUUCAUGAUACGGUCACAAUAGAAGAGUUUGAAAAUGAAUGGAAAGAAUUGAUUGCAAAAUAUGCGCUAGGGGAUGUGGACUGGUUGAAAGACUUGUACGUGCAGCGUGAAAAAUGGGUUCCAGCUUACUUACGGACAAUGUUUUGUGCCGGGAUGUUAACAACAAAAAGAAGCGAGAGUAUGCACAGAUUCUUCAAGGAUUUUGUCCCUUCUUGUACAUUUGUAAGUGACUUUGUUCAUCAGUACGAGAAAGCCUUGGAUGAAAGAUACCAAAGUGAAAAGGAAAGAGAUGUGGAAACAAGAACUGCCAAAGCAAUUUUGAAGACAUGUUACAAAAUUGAGGCAGAGGCAGCAAAAGUUUACUCUAGGAAAAGUUUUUUGUUAUUCCAAGAAGAAUUAUUUUCAAGCCAAAAGCACAAGGCAUGUAGAUAUCGGGAGGAAGGAACAAUAAAGACGUAUAGAGUAUUGCCAUAUGGUAAACCAGAACCAAUGUACGAAGUAGUAUUUGAUGGUGUUGAAAAGAAAGCGACUUGUUCAUGCCAUAUGUUCGAAUUUGUUGGAAUUGUUUGUCGUCACAUUCUUGCAGUUUUCGUGAAAAAAAAUGUUGUCGAUUGUCUUCCUCAACGAUAUGUUCUUCAAAGAUGGACAAUGAAUGCAAUGCGUCAUGGUGCGCACGAAAUACAAGGGCCACAAAUUUCUCCCACCUUGAUGAGGAACAGUUUGAUGAUCGAGUUUUUGAAAGUCGUUGAAGAAGGUCAAAAAUCACAAAGGAAACAUCAUCAUCUAACAGUUGCUUUACGAAAGGCGCACAGUGAACUUCUAGCCAUGGAUGAUGAAUGUUGGAACUUCUAGUGUUUGUAAUGUAUGAUCUGGAUGAAGGGGAUUGAUGUGUAUUGUUGUACUCGGUGGCUAUUUGGUGGAUAUGGUGUAUGAUAUUGGAUUUCUUUAUUUGAGACUCAAAUGCAUGUCAUAUUCUGCAGUUCUCUAAGAAAAGAGCCGCAAAGAAAGAAGUACCCUCAGUUUGUGAUGCUAAGUCUGCUUCACUGAUUUCCACAGCUGCCUAAUGGAUUAACAGUUCGAAAACUGAGUGUCUGUGUAUUUAGGUAUGUAAAUUGUGUGUAUCUGGCAAUAGGUAAUUGAUUUUCACACUCCUCUUUUUUAUAAUCACACAUUUUUUUUGGGGGUCAUUUUGUGAUGUGAAUUUACAAAAUUAAUGUAUACUCUUUCUCACUUGAGAGGACGAGAUUGUAAAUUUACAUUACAAGAAGGAAGUGUGGUUACAAAAAAGGUGAGUGUGAAAAUCAGUAUCCCUAGCAAAACUCUAAAACGGCUUCCCGUGUUCCUGUGUAAUCGGCUUUCUUCGUUUAUGGAAAUCUCCCUUUUCCCGUGGUA